CACCGCCCGUCGCUCCUACCGAUUGAAUGGUCGGGUAAAGUGUUUGGAUCGUGGCGACGGGGGCGGUUCGCCGCCCCCAAUAUCGCGAGAAGUCCAUUGAACCUUAUCAUAUAGAGGAAGGAGAAGUCGUAAGAAGGUUUCCGUAGGUGAACCUGCGGAAG
rnacentral:rRNA from 16 species